CCCUUGUGGAGGAGGACGCCGAAGGUGGGGCUAAUGACUGGGGUGAAGUCGUAACAAGGUAGCCGUACCGGAAGGUGCGGCUGGAUCACCUCCUAACAGGGAGACAACAAAAUGUUUUAUAUUAUUAUUUUGUCACCUUAGGUCGAUCGGUAUCUCACAUUCUUAAUUUAUUAAGGAUUUCAUAUCCUAAGUUUUUCUAGGUCACACCCAUUAUUUUUCCUGGGCCAUUAGCUCAGGUGGUUAGAGCGCACCCCUGAUAAGGGUGAGGUCCCUGGUUCAAGUCCAGGAUGGCCCAUAUCUCUAUGUUGGGGGUAUAGCUCAGUUGGUAGAGCGCCUGCUUUGCAAGCAGGAUGUCAGCGGUUCGAGUCCGCUUACCUCCACUGAUCACCACCUCUCCCAUAAUUUAUACAAGGAAAUUUUAUUGAGUUGUGAUCAAAUUCUGAACGAAUCUAGCUUCCUAAUCAAACUUAUUAAGAUGCUGGACUCAUUGAAUUAACUUCAUUGUUUUCAGAGAACCUUGACAACUGCAUAGAUUAUUUUUAAAGACAAUAAGCAUCUUUAUUGAUGCAGAUUUAUUAUUUGUGCUAAUGCAUUAAUAACAAUUCUAUUAAGCUGAUGCUUCAAUUUUU
rnacentral:misc_RNA from 1 species